AUGGCUUCUGCGACCCCAUCAACCUCGGUGCUGCCAUUGACUGCUAAAUCAAGUAGAAAUCUAGAAUGAGAAAAUCAUACUUAACAUGGUUUGAUGGUCAAGGAUAAAGUGGUUUGUCCAGCCUGCUUCACAAAAUUUAAAUGCUUCCAAAUCUCCAUCCUAAGGAAGCUCCAAGUGUUGUCAGAUAUUCUCACUCCGUGGAACAAAAGGAAGAGCAUAUUUGUAUCAUUGCAAUGAUUUAAAGUCUAAAAUUAGGACCAGAGACAGGGAACUGAAUACUAAGACCAUCCCAAAUUUCUACUUGCAAUCACUAGGUGCUCACUUAAAUUACUUAUCCUAUAAUAAUACCAUGUAUGGCUUUACUCAAAGACUCCCUUUGAAAGAAAAAUUUAAAUUCUCACGGCGAAAUUAAACGUCCAGUGCAGCCGAUUCAAACUUCCAGUCAAUAAAGAGUAAAUUUCCCACGGAAGUUUAAGACAAGAAAAUGUAAACCGUUUGGCCCCAACAAAGUGAAUGUCUUGAAAAGAAAUGAAUUUCUUGGUAUUACCAAGUGAGACAUUACAAGUGGACUUCAGGUCAGGCAUUUGUCGGGUUUUUUUCGGGAUUUUUUUGCGUCCUUUUUUCACAUAGUGAAUUUCUUAUUUUGAUUUUUAAUGUAGUGAGCUGCUUUAGACUGAGGAGUGAACUUCUGUUGGCAGUGAAAUAACAGAAUUUUGAGACCAAAUAAUAUCAACAUGUAGUGAACCAUGGAAGAACAUUCCUUGUGGAUAUUCAGAAAAAAAUGUUUGGUGCUACUUGAGGCAAGAACAUACCUCUCAUGCUGAUCUAACGAUAGACUAAAUCUAAUCACACCAAAGCAGGAAAAAGAUCGGAUGUGGACUUCCGCAUGACUCCCGUCACUACGAGGAGGCUUCGCGGCACAUGAUCACUUUUGAGAGAUGGACGUGCGCUGUCACGGGCUUUUGAAAUAUUUUGCUGGAAUUAUGGAAACAAAAUGCAUGUUAUAUUUCACAUGUAGAAAAAAAGAUAGCACGGGCAUAAUCGAGUAAUAAUUUAAGUCCACUUCACUUACAUUGUAAAUUGUUAACAAAAGGCAAUUUGACAAUGCAUACAUAUAGAGCGAUGAUCCAACUAAAAAUCUAUUACAAAUUAAUAUCUAUUUGAUGCGUUUAAGAAAUUCUCGCACAAUAUUAGCAAUGUUGUCUUUAGUUUCAUUUGCACAAUAUUUGAGCAAGUAUAAUAAAAAUGUCUUCCUCACCGGCCUUCGGGUCCGUCCACUUUCAUGCCAACCACGGUGGCCAACCUUGACCCAGGCUUCGACUUCUUUGCUUGCGCGAUGGCGGACGCCUCGCUUACUCGAAAACACCAUGAUGGACACCAUCCACCCUACCUUGCCUACCGGCAGCACUUUUCUUCCGGCACGGGCUCGCCGACCACCUCUCUCUCAGGAUCCUCUCCACAACUACACGGUGGCCGGAGCCAACCGUCCGCCAUGACUGCUCCACCACCACCCCGAGGCUCGACAUGAGUCAACUUUAAUCGUGUCAAACAUACAUUGUUUGGAUCCUCAUGCACAUUAAGCAACAUUCUUGAUUUUUUCUGCCUAUAAACCACUAUUAUUCUUCGUCUUUGUUCUCCUGCUCCUCUUCACUUACUAUCUCUACCGUCCCUAUCCAAGCCAGCCGCAAUCAUCAAUGUCCCAUCCGGCUCAAAAUCCCCAAACCUUCUACACCCAUACUAUGAAUUUUAAGGGACCUUUUGCCAUUAUUUUAUCCUUCAAAGUCUACAAACUAUAAUAUCAAUGUAGAAGUAAUUAGUGUAAACUCCUUUAUGCCCGCUCAUGGCCACUACGACCACAACUCUGUCGUCUCACCUACAUGAUGUGUGUCCACUCCCACAAUUUCCCCCUUACUCUGGCGAGGCCUCCAUUACUUUUGAAUAUUUUGUUCGGAUUAUUUGCCAUCAAGGAGAAAUUAGCAUAUUGCGCAUGAACAUAUGUGAUAAAAGUUCCUGCGAUUUGACACUACAGAGGUAGAGCAACAUGAAAAUAAAAGAGCAUGCUUCUAAUCUUCAAACUUCUUAGUUUAAAAAAAUGGCGAUAACCUUACAACAUUUUCCAGACUCUUGUCCAUACUGAAAAUGGUUCAUGCAUUAAGGAACACCACACAAAGUAUGGAAUCCAAAAAAACUAACAACAAGCGACAGUGACAUGGAUGGCUACCUUAUUGCUUUGGAAGUGGAUGGCAUGAGCCGUCGCUUAGAUGCACGAAACAGUCCCGACCAUGUACAGCUAGCCAAGAAACGUUGGGUCAAAACAAGGAGUUGGUACCUUGAGCAACGACGCCAUCGCGUUGACAUUUGCCCAACCCAACUGCUCAUGGCCAUCCUCGGCCACCACCUAUCCACCUGGACACACUCCUCUAGACCCAGGCGUUCUGAACGGCAUCCUCCCUGCUUCCCCAGCAUGAUGGCCGACUACCGUAACUUCUCUAGAGUGAAUCCUUCCAAAGGCGCUGCCGACAACAUCAUCCCUGUGGUGAUGCGUCUUCCUUCUUGUGCCUUUUGCUCCAUUGACCUCCUUCCUAUGAAAUUUCGGUAACAAGGUACAUUUCAGUAAUCAGUAAAAAAAUGCAGAUUUUAGUACAAGAGAAAUGAGCGUCUUGACAAAGGUUUAGUAGAAAUCAGAUUUCCGUACAACAAGAUAUUUUAGUACCUACUAAAAAGAAUAGUACAAGGGCAAUCAUCCGAACAAUAUCAUCAUAAGUAUGAACUAAACCUUUAGUCGCAGCAGGUACCUACUAAAUAGGAAGUGGAUGAUAUUCAUAUUACCCAUGUCAUCUCAAUAUCAUCAUAUGUUUAUUGUAGAAAAUCAUAAGCAUCAACACCACUACCUGGAAGACAUAUCUCCUAGCUUCUUUAUGAUUCAGAAUUCAACCCCAUGGAAGCUAAUAUGAAUAUCAUCUCAAGGAUCUAGAUAAAAUACCUGGAACAAAACUCAAUGAAGAACCAUAACAUCGAUCGAAACUAAACAUGAAAAUUUUGAACUCGCUGACUUUAUAUCAGUCUAGUAGUAAUAGUAGUACAAUCGCUGGUAGAAAAUGCAAUUCUCAACGUGCAUAUAGAUAUGCUAUUAUCUUGCUGCUAGAAAAUGUAGCGCUCAAGGUACAUAUAGAUAUGCCAUUGUCUUGCUGUGAAAUAGACUGCUUGGUUUGUUAGCUAGAUUAGGAAACCUAAGCUUUCCAACAAUUCCAAUCUGGAAGCACAAUCAGACCUCAUAGCCUUAAAGAUAAAUGAAAAGCAAUCAAACCAUUGGCGAGAACUUCUAAUUACGGCUCCGAGAGAACUCUAAUCCAUUUGUAAUUUGCCUAGAAAUAAAAUCAAUCAAACUGUAAUUUGCCUAGAAACAUGACCUCAAUGGCAUGCAUACCAUCACCUUUCAUAUCUUUUGUGGCAUUAAAUGAUUGUUGCAUUGUCUACGGAUGAGCCAAAAUUGCUAUGCCCCCAGUUCUACAAAUUAGAUGCACAAUAGAUUCCCCAUUCAGCCUAAUACCGCUGCAAAUGAACAAUAGAAAUCCACAUUAGUAAAUACAUCACGUCCCUGGUUAAGUAGUUAAUUUCAAGCCCAAAAAAUUAACACACUCCUGGCCAACAAUGUGCACGGUUAACCAUGAGCUACCGCAUCCUUGCCAAGUGUCCUCGUCCCACUCUUCCACUUGGCGUGAGGCCUCAACGGGACCUGCAUGAUCUAUCCAUCAGCGCAUUGACAGGAUUGUUACCAAAAUUCUUGUUCCUGUGAUCAAGCGGGAGGAGUACCGUGUAAAAUUCUGGCAUCCUGCUGUUGUGACAAGAAUGCAUCCUAUGACAAAAAUGUAUCCGACAUCCUCAAUCUCAAGCUAGAAAAAGACACGAGUCUCUUACUUACUAUGACAAAGUUACCAAUGUUUUUAUCAUUAAUUUAAGACGCAAAGCCUCAGGAUUGACAUGAGUAACAUGAAAGACCUUGGGAAAUAUGAAGAAAUUAGGCACACUUUUUUGUGCAUGAUGUGAAGUAGUAGUAAAAAAUCAAAAUGUCUCAUCUAGUGUUUAGUUCUGCAUACCAAGGUUAUAGUUAUACAAGUACAACGAUUAUUCAGACAAGAUCAGCAAGGAGAUGAGAGGAUGCGCUCGCGGUUGUUCUAAAAAUCGGUAGUUGGAGUCAACUUGCUUAAUUCUAUGUGCAUGCAUAUUCAAAACAACAUGGAGAAUCGUUGUAGGUUGGCUUGGGGGUACCUUUGCAACAUGGAGAAUUAUUGUAGGUUGGCUUGCUGAAUUCUGUGUGCAUGCAUAUUUUGCAGUUGAUUAUGCGGCAUCCUCAUGGUGUAAUCUUCUGCUGAUUCGUUGGGAGUACCAUUGCCACCUGAUCUGUAGAAGAUAAUACUCCACCCAUACUGAACAUUGAACACCGCAAUAUCAAUGAGAUCUCUGUCGGGGUCAAACACUUAAAGGUACUUUGGUUGUCAUUGCUAAUUUAUGAAUAUCAAUAUCAUCAAUGGACCUAGUUGGGCAGAUGCAGGAAUAACUGUACUACGAACCUUGUCUGAAAUAAUUGUGCAAUUAAUUUCCCACGAAGACAAUUGAAUUUUUCUUGUGUUGAGGAAAGAAUAGUCCACAUCGACCAAGCACAGCUGCAAUGGGUUGUUAGUCGCACACAUGCUGAUAAGCCUCUGUUGUGUCCUAAUCUAAGCAGCAAGCUAAUCACCUGAUGACAUGAAUGUUCAGAGCUUGCAGGUGCAAUUCUACCAGUGUCUUUAGACCAACCUGCAGAGCAACCUGCAUGAUCCAUCCAUCAGUGCAUUGACUGGAUUGUCAAAUUUGCCGACUUUGAUGUGCGACUGGGCACCGAAUAUCG
rnacentral:lncRNA from 1 species